GGGGGCGGAGCCUUCGUGAUCACGUGAUCCAGGUACAGGAACGAACACCGAAGGUGUUUAAUGAGUUCAGUCUCCAUUUUAAAAGAACAGAACUGGAGGAAAAGUUAAAUAAACACCAACUAGAAACGUUGAGGAGAAGAUGAGUGUUUGUGUGAAAGAAGGGGACAGAGCAGAGUCUCCAGGAUCCAGAUGUGAGUCUAUGAGGAGUGAAUGGUCCAAAGAGGAGCCUCCAGAACUAAGUAAUGAACCUAGAGCCUCAGACACAAAAGUCCAGAACCAAAGACAAAGAGCAGAACCUCCAGGACCUAGCUGUCUGUCUAUGAAGAGUGAUCGGUCCAUGCAUACGCCUCCAACCUUUAGUAAUGAACCUGGAGCCUCAGACACAAA